GAGACGGGGAAGGGCACACAGGCUCCCACCCCUAACCCGGAAGCUAUCUGCAAUCAACCUCACUGAACCUUCUCCUAUUUUAACUGGUCAGAUAAAGGAUAGAGCCUGUGAUUGGGCAAUGGAAGGGAAAGGCAGGGCUGGAGGUUUUAGAGAGUGGGGAAAGAAAGGAAGGCGGGGAAGACGGAGGGAGAGGAGAGGGAAGUGAAGUUGGAGCAGAACCAUCUGGCCCGGAGAAGCCGCAAGUAACAAGGGAUCUCAGAGCUGGGGAAUAGUAUAGAGGUGAAUCUGCCCAAUCUAGGUGUGCAGCUUAUAAAUUCUGUAACCGAGUUGUGUGGUUUUGCAGGGACAUAUUGGGGCAAUUUACCACAACGAUUGACGCCCAUCAUAUCGAUUAGAACCCAACUAACAUAAAAGUCCACUGCCUCUCCCCACACCCUCAAUACUCCACUGGGGCAACAAUCUAAGGCUGCAGCAAUGUGUGGAUGGAAAGCUGACUGGGUCUGAGGUGCCUAUAGAGAGAGCUGCAGAGAGGCUCCUCCCCCAAGUCCAGGGCAGGCAGUUACUGCCAGGGGCAGCAUCCCAGACUGGAGCUGGACUUAGGCAUUGCUCUAUAGGAUUCCCAGGAAGGGACAGGGGACCCUGGAGGGCAACUGCCUGUGAGGAAUUCUUCGGGCAGACACAGAACUAGCUGACCAGGGCUUCUACGCCUGAGGAAGCCUUUCUGUGCUCGCUCCCCGUAUCCCCCGAGUCAACACUGAAUACAGGACAGCCAGACUGGCUUUCCCAACUGCUUGCGCUGCAGGCGCCUGAGAUCAGCACACAAGCACAUGCUGCCAGCUGCAACCCAAACAAAAGAGAGUCAGCUUAGAAGCACAGAAGACUGGGGUUUUCUGUCAACCUCUCCCUGCAAAUAAAAGAAUCAGAGGACUGCACUGUCCUGAAUCGAACAGUAGGGGGAGAUAAAGGUACAAAGGGCUCCGGAGCAGCUAGAAAAGUUCAACGCUGACACUUCCAGCAAAACCCAGCCUGGAUUCUGGUCCAAGUCUUGGAUUCUAAUUUCACAAUGAGAAAAACGGGUAGGUAGCAGAGAGAAAAGAAC
ensembl:lncRNA